rnacentral:lncRNA from 10 species
GUGGGCGCGAGGUUGCCGGGGGGGGGAUGAGGAGUCUCGGGUGAGAUCACCACGGAGCGGCUUAGCGCGGCGCACAAGUCUCGCGAGAGAAGCGGCGGCUGGGCCCUGCAGGCGGAGGAAGUGGAAAAAGUCGCGGGAGGGUAGGGGACCGCGGAACUUCUGGUUGCUAUGACGACGGCAAAGCCCUGGAUUCCUGUCUCCUGCGGAGAGCAGAGGCUGCAAACGCAUCCGCAGACGCCUUUAUACGUACUCCAAAAUGCUAGUAAGGAUGAAGAUGAACUCUCCUCAGCCCGUGUCUUUUAACUGUAGAAACUUUUCUGAGAAAUGAAAAGAGGCUUGCUCAUGACUUGGAAGCGGUGGGCUGAGGCCUCCCAAGACCAUCUGGCUUGUUCCAUUGCCAGCCAGAGUGGAGGCGACAUUCACACGAACCCAGGAGCUGCAGGGGCGCGUGAGCUACAGCUGCCUUGUGGCAUCCAAGGAGUGCGCAACUAGUCUCACUCUGUUGCCCAGGCUGGAGUGCAGUGGCGCGAUCUCAGCUUACUUCAGCCUCCGCCUCCCGGUUUCAAGUGAAUUCUCCAGCCUCAACUUCACAAGUAGCUGGGAUUACAGCCACUUUUUAUCUUCUCUCCUGCAAUCCAACCCACAUAAUUUCCAUGAAGAAAGCGGAGUGGUGUCAUUUUACAACAAGAAAACUGAGUUAAGAAUAAGUCCAAUCAAUUGCUAGGUGUUGAGACUGAAAUGGAAGUCUCUUAGUACUCCACCCAAGGAUUUUCAUAUUAAACAAUUAUCU